rnacentral:piRNA from 1 species
UUGCUAUUGAUGUUGCCCUGGAUGGCC